UCAUGAAGAGGGCACAAGAGGUGGCUUCCUCUCAGAUGAAAGGCAGACAGUGUGCACAUUGCAAUCUCAGCACUCUCCUGCAUUAUGGAUCUGCUCCCGGGCUGUACUGCUUGCUAGCACAGACACAGCUGCAAUAUAUUUAUUGCACUUUAAAAUCUCUUCAUGGCAUUUGGGAGUUUACACCAUCUUGUUUACGAUGUUGAGUCCAGCCUCAGCAGUAUGGAAGAAAAAUCUGGCUCUGUUUCUGAGCAAUUCUAGUUAUGGGAAGUCAUAAGCAGGCCAUGUUUGCUGGUGAAGUUUAAGGAAAGCCAAACCACUGAAAUGGAUGAAGUCCCUGAACAGCAGAAACCAUCAGAAACCAAAGCUGCCUUGAACUGCUCACGCUGCCGUGGCCAGCAGGCAGCUCUCCGUGAAUGCAAAGAAAUCCUCAGUUUCAAUUCAUUCUCAUAAUUGUACUCCACAUACACUGUUAAUCCACAUUUUAACUAACUGGCAUAUAAAAGAAAUUCCUGCUUUAUGUGGAAGAAUUACUGUGUGGUGAUAAGAUGUGCUAGUGCUAAAAUCCUGCAGGAUUAGAACCUACCACAAAUAAUCAGGAAUACUUUAUUUCAUUAACAAGCCUAAUCAAAACAUGUUAGUCAACAAUUUUUCCAGCAUGUUAAAUAUAUUGCUAACUAAUUAAGAAAAUUCAAAAUAAUUGCUUGGAUUCAAUUUUCCCAUCCAAAUGAAACUUACUGCAAGUUAUGAACCAAUGAGCAGGCAUCUAGUAGGAACAGACAGACAACAGUUAGUGUCUCUUAAUACAUAAAAAAACAUAAAAUUUCAAGGGCCUUUAUCAAAAUUCCAGGCUGGCAAUGGCUUUAAAACACACAGGUGUAUUCAGAAAAAAGUCAACAUAUUGCUGCUGGUGGUGGCAGCCGCCUCUUCUGAUGGUAGAAGUUGCCUAUGCAUGGUUCCCCUCCACAAAACACAUUCCAAGUACCUGAGAACUGUGGGAAGGGUGGAGAUGCCAGAGAGCUCCUCAGGCAGGAGAUGCCAGGAGCAGCUUGGGACAAUGGCAGGGAGGGAGGGGCUGCUCACACACUCAUAGGACUGGCUGGCUCACACCCUCCAGCAGGCUGUGGUCACUCACCUCCCUGUGGAAAAGGGCACAUGAACAGCUCAUGAACAGCAGGCCACCCUUGAUAUGUUGCAUCUGAGGGGGAUGCAAAGCACGGCCAAACUGAGUUUCAAAGUGUUGCAGUUGUGUAAAAAUAUCUUAAGUUGGUUACCAACAAACAGAGAAAGGGAAAAAAAAAUCUGUCAGGGAGGGGUGAGCAGGAAAACAUGGCCUGAAGCACAAAAACAAGGCAGAAAUUGAUUAUUUGAAUGAAGCUUUCCCAACUGCUGAUCUAAUCAGCAAUUAAAGCAGCAAUUCAAAUCAAUGUAGCCUGGUGUUAUCUCACCCUCUAAAGUUUCAUAUAUUUUAUUUACACAUAAUUAAUAAACUUCCUAUGACAUGUCCUGGAUUUUAGAGUACAGAAGGUAGUGGAUCGAAAGGAAUUAAAAUGCUGCACUCUGCUGCUUUUCCAUUUGAGUGCAAAUAAUAUCAACAGAACUCAGGCAUUCACUCCAGUAAUGGGAAAAUGGCAUCAGAAAAAUGUCUCUCUGCUUAUUCAAAUCUUUAGCUGGGGGAGAGUCAGGAGCAGCAUUAACAUUUAUUAGACUGCAAACCAUACUAUGCAGAUCUCUGGCACCAAAGUGUGAAAUCCUGAAUUGGUACAAGCUUGUAAGACAGACCAUUUUUACUGUUAGAGGGAGAACAGAGAAAAAGAACAAAAAAAAAAAAGAAGAGCAAUUGUGGCUUUUCAUCAAGUAUAUUUCAUAAUUGUCCAUUAAAAUACAUACCUACAUCACAAAACACUUUAAAAAAACCAAGUAUUUUAAAUGUAUGUACAAUAAUGCAAAAAUAUGCCUAAAUAUGUAUCUAAUGCAAAAAAAUAAA